rnacentral:rRNA from 1 species
AACCAGGAGAUUAAGUUGUAUUAUACGGUAAAAAGACAGUUAGGUAAAAAUAAAUAAAGCUUAAUUCAUUGUACUAUCGGGAGGUAGAAUUCGAAGAUAGACAAAUAUACUAAAUUAAAGCAGUGUAGCUGAAGCUGUGAUAACUUUGAGGGAAACUAGGAUUAGAUACCCUAUUAUUCAUAGAAAUAAAUAAGAAAAUUCUACCAGAGUACUAAGAAUAAGAAAAUUUAAAACUCAAAGAGCUUGGCGGUGUUUUAGACUACUUAGGGGAACCUGUCUCGUAAUCGACAAUCCACGAUAGACCUAACCUUCUUUUGCGCUCAGUUUGUAUACCGUCGUCGACAGGUAACUUUUAAGAUAGGAACAGUUAGCUAACUAAAUACUUAAAUUAAGACGUCAGAUCAAGGUGCAGCUAAUAAUAGGGUGUAGAUGGGUUACAAUUAUUGCAUUCGUAAUAACGGACAACAGCCUUAAAAGCAAUUGGAAAGGAGGACUUAAAAGUAAAAUAAAUUAUAUAAGCAUUUUGAAUAAAGCUCUGAAACGUGC